rnacentral:rRNA from 1 species
GUCAAAUCAUCAUGCCCUUUAUGUCCUGGGCUACACACGUAAUACAAUGGCGCAGUAACAGAGGGAAGCGAAGGGGCAACCCGGAGCAAACCCCUAAAAGGCGUCUCAGUUCAGAUCGUGGGCUGCAACCCGCCCGCGUGAAGUCGGAAUUGCUAGUAAUCGCGGAUCAGCAAGCCGCGGUGAAUACGUUCCCGGGCCUU